rnacentral:rRNA from 1 species
GAUGAACGCUAGCGGCAGGCUUAAUACAUGCAAGUCGAGGGGCAGCAUGAGUGUAGCAAUACAUUUGAUGGCGACCGGCAAACGGGUGCGGAACACGUACACAACCUUCCUAUAAGUGGGGAAUAGCCCAGAGAAAUUUGGAUUAAUACCCCGUAACAUAAUGAUGUGGCAUCACAUUAUUAUUAUAGCUUCGGCGCUUAUUGAUGGGUGUGCGGCUGAUUAGAUAGUUGGCGGGGUAACGGCCCACCAAGUCUACGAUCAGUAGCUGAUGUGAGAGCAUGAUCAGCAACACGGGAAGUGAGAAACGGGCCCGACUCCUACGGGAGGCAGCAGUAAGGAAUAUUGGUCAAUGGACGCAAGUCUGAACCAGCCAUGCCGCGUGAAGGAUUAAGGUCCUCUGGAUUGUAAACUUCUUUUAUCUGGGACGAAAAAAGGCUGUUCUUAGUCACUUGACGGUACCAGAUGAAUAAGCACCGGCUAACUCCGUGCCAGCAGCCGCCGUAAGAC